rnacentral:rRNA from 1 species
UACAGAGGUCUCAAGCGUUGUUCGGAUUCAUUGGGCGUAAAGGGUGCGUAGGCGGCGCGGUAAGUCGGGUGUGAAAUCUUGGAGCUUAACUCCGAAACUGCAUUCGAUACUGCCGUGCUUUGAGGACUGGAGAGGAGACUGGAAUUUACGGUGUAGCGGUGAAAUGCGUAGAUAUCGUAAGGAAGACCAGUGGCGAAGGCGGGUCUCUGGACAGUUCCUGACGCUGAGGCACGAAGGUCAGGGGGAGCAAACGGGG